UUCUUGGCUCUACUCUCCUUCCCUCAGCCAGAAGCACCGUCGCUGUACCUCCCUGAAAAAAAAAGCAAGAUAUCAAGGGCACGAGAGGACAGUGGGUACGUGAAAGGUAAUUAGAGAAGUGAGAGAAGAGAAUAAGAUCAAGAAAGCAAGACAUAGACGGCGAGAAGAGACACGGGAGGGAGUUAAAGGGCACGGCACCGGUUAUCUUCCUUAUCCCCGCCGCCAUUUCCCGCUCACCACGUCUCGAGCGAGGUAGCAGUGACGGCGAGAGGGAACCGAGUGGCAAGUGAGUGACGGGUGAGCACAGCACCAUCCAUGUCCAGCCGGAGUCUGCUCGCCAGCCCCGACCAGUAGUGUCCUCUGUCUGCCAGGCUGCGCGAUUUAGCGUGGUUGUAGUAUAUACCCCGCGGCCAGCACCAGCAGCCACGGUGACUCCUACCACUACGAGCCAGUGGAUGUCGUGUGAAGAAGAAUGAUGGCGGUAACUGUCCACCGUGUUUAUCGCGAUACUUGU